GGAUUUAAACAGCUCUUAUACUAAAUUUGGAAGCCUACAGAGCAGAUUAGCAUGGCCCCUGCACAAAAUAACAUGCACAUUCUUGAAGCAUUUCAUAUGGGA